rnacentral:rRNA from 1 species
UGAGUAACACGUAUCCAACCUGCCGUCUACUCUUGGACAGCCUUCUGAAAGGAAGAUUAAUACAAGAUGGCAUCAUGAGUCCGCAUGUUCACAUGAUUAAAGGUAUUCCGGUAGACGAUGGGGAUGCGUUCCAUUAGAUAGUAGGCGGGGUAACGGCCCACCUAGUCGACGAUCGGUAGCCGGACUGAGAGGUUGAACGGCCACAUUGGGACUGAGACACGGCCCAGACUCCUACGGGAGGCAGCAUG